CAGUAGCCGCGGUAAUACGGAGGGUGCAAGCGUUAAUCGGAAUUACUGGGCGUAAAGCGCACGCAGGCGGUCUGACAAGUCAGAUGUGAAAUCCCCGGGCUUAACCUGGGAACUGCAUUUGAAACUGUCAGGCUGGAGUCUUGUAUAGGGGGGUGGAAUUCCAGGUGUAGCGGUGAAAUGCGUAGAGAUCUGGAGGAAUACCGGUGGCGAAGGCGGCCCCCUGGACAAAGACUGACGCUCAGGUGCGAAAGCGUGGGGAGCAAACAGGAUUAGAUACCCGCGUAGUCCCUGUCUCUUAUAC
rnacentral:rRNA from 1 species